GCAGGUCAGCGGCGUGCAGGUCGGCAGCGUGCCCGGCCCGGCGCCUCUGAGCACCGGCUACCGUCAAUUAGCCUGGGCCCACCUUCUGCCCCGCCAGCCCCAGGCCUCUGAAAAUUUGCCUCCCUCCGGGUUCUCAUUUAAGCUGGGCCCGGAGGCCUCACCCGGAGACCAGGUUUGGGCUCUCUGCUUUCUCCUGCUCCCUGCAGCCUCCCCUGCGAGUUUUCCAGCUCCGGUCCCAGCGCCAUGGCCGGCCGGGCAGAGCCUGUUCUAGGAGGUCGAAAGGGGAUUCGGAGAAGAGCAAAGUUUGCAAUCGUUCUUAAGAGCAGAGCUUCUCGGCUUCCUAGAUGGUAGAAACUCUAAGGGGGUGGUAAGGGGCCGGGGGAGCAGACGGGGCCGGUCCGAGAGGAGCUGGUGGGAGUCAACUCAGCCACAGGCUGCGCUGCCUGCGUGGGACACCAGUGGGCCUUGCCCGAGGCUGCUCUUCCCAGCUCCCUAAACAUUAUCCCGGAGCCUUCCAGAGUGAUGCUGAGGACCAGGACCAGGGCUCAUGUCCAGUCCCUUCCGACUUCACACGAUCCUCGUCUUCCACAGCAGUCAGUCAGAGUGUGUGGUAACUGAUGCCCCCUUCUAUUCAAACUGCCUUGCCCACCACCAUGGGACUCCCAGCUGCUUCUGUCACUGCUUUCUGCACUUCGUAGAGACCUUGAAAGGUGAAGAUGGAAUGGAUAACAUCCUCAAUAACAGCCAGCAAACUACUGGCUAGUGCUGGACAGUAGGACAACCUCCCUCUGCCCUUAUCCUUACUGCCUUCUGUCUCCUGCUUCUACCCAACUGUACCUUAACCCACCUAAAGUCCUCCCUAAACCUGCUCCCAAGAUUUCCCAGCUAUAAACUACUGUCACUUAAUGUUCACCAAACCAUUUCAGAUAUUUUUCUAUGAGUGCUCUCUGCUCCUCUCUCUCUCUCUCUCUCUCUCUCUCUCUCUCUCUCUCUCUCUCUCUCUCUCUCGUACGUAAUGAUUACAUUCAUCGAGCGGAGUUGGUGAAUGUACAUAACACAUGCUAUUUUUUUUUUUCCUUUUCUCCCGCUCCUUCCUUCAUAGUUUGGUCCCCUUUGAACUUGCAGAAGUUCUAUCUCCCUGUUUCCUAUUAUCUUUUUUCCUUUUUAAUUUAUUUAUAUUUUGAGUUUCUCAUACAAGAGAAACCAUGUGAUAUUUAAACUUGUAUCUGAUUUAUUUCACUUAAACUUUUGGUCAUAAGAUGCAUCUAUUUUCCCACAAAUGAAUCAAAUUUAUCUUCUUUUUGGCAAAGUAGUACUACAUUGUAUAUAAAUACCACCUUUUAUUUUGCUCUUUAUACUUCUCAUACGAGAGAAACCACAUGGUAUUUAAGCUUGUGUGUCUGAUUUCAUUUAACAUUGUCUUCAAGGUGCAUCCAUUUUUCUACAAAUGGUUCAAAUUCAUCGUUAUAGCAGAGUGUAGUAUUCCAUUGUGUAUAAAUAUCACAUUUUAUAUCCAUUCAUCUGUUGAACAUACAGCCUGUUUCCAAGAUCUGGCUAUUAUGAAUUAUACCGCUAUAAAUAUUGGUAUAUAUAUUAAAUAUUGGUAUAUAUAUUACAUUGGUAUAAAUAUUGGUUUUGAUAUAAUAUCUUUAACUCUUCCAUGAAAAUGCCUAGAAGGGGAAUAGCUGGGUCAAAUGGAAUUUCCAAUUUUAGUUUUUUGAGGAAUCUCCACAAUGAUUUUCAUAGUGGUUGUAUUAGUUUACAUUCCCACCAACAGUGUAAAAGAGUUCCUUUUUACCUGCAUCUGUUAUUAUUUGAUUUUUUAAAUUAAGUUUCUUGGAACAAUUUAGAUAUACAUAAUAAUCACAUUCAUCAUAGGGAAUUUGUACCUAUUAUUUGAUUUCUUGAUGUUUGCCAUUCUCUAAUAGCCAGGACAUUGACUAUUUCUUCAUGUAUGUCAGGGAUGGGGGGUGCUGAAGGGGUAUUUUUGUGGGUGAGAUCCCCAAGAAAAAGAAAACACAAGGAGCUGACAUCAGCAACAGUAACAAGAGCAAGUGUCUUUAUUUCUCAGCCUGUAUAGCCCGCUGCAUAGCCUUACAUCAUUAUGUCCUUACAUAACUGUAUAACACAUGCUCAGUAGUCUAUGCCAAGUCAUGCUUACAUAAGUGUGUCCUGUGGUGCACAUGUGCUAGAUGUCAGGGUUGUGUCCUUAUGGGCCCUCAGGUGCCCUGGGCUUUGAAGCAACCAAGGUAGUUCCCUACAAUGUAUUUAUGGGUCAUUUGUAUUUCUUCUGUGAAGUGUGCAUUCAUUUCAGUUGCCCAUUAUUUUGAUUGGGUCUUUUAUUUUGGGGGAUCUAAUGUUUUUUAGUUCUUUAUAUAUUCUAGAUGUUAGUCCUAACACCUUAGAUCUAAUUUUUUAGUUCUUUAUAUAUUCUAGAUGUUAGUCCUCUUAAGUUGUCUCUUCACUCUAUUGGUUGUUUUCUUCAUUAUGUAGAAGCUUUCUAAUUUGAUAUGAUCUCAUUUGUUGAUUCUUGAUGUUAUUUCUUGUGUGGUUUUUGGCUCUGUUCAGAAAAUCUUCAUCUCUCAAAAGGCUAAUCUAGGGCCGGGGAUUUAGCUCAAUGGUUCUGCCACCUGCUUUGCAAGUACAAGGUCCCGAGUUUGAUCCCCGGUACAAAAAAACAAAACAAAAAAACCAGGCAAAUCUGGAGGUUAGUAUAAAAUACUGACAAAGAACUAAUCACAGAGAAAAAACUGACAAACCUACAUGCUCAUAUUACAAAUCAGAACACUGAAGCUGAGAGGUGAACUCAAGAUUACAUAACUGCCAGGUGUGGUGGCACACACCUGUAAUUCCACCACUCUGGGAGACUGAAGCAGGAGAAUCACAAUUUCAACCCCAGUGUGGGCAACUUAGCAACUUAAUGAAACCCUGUCUCAAAAUAAGAAAGGGCUGGGGAUGUAGCUUGGAGUGCAGGCCCUGGGUUCAAG